rnacentral:rRNA from 1 species
AGCGAACGCUGGCGGCAGGCUUAACACAUGCAAGUCGAGCGGGCGUAGCAAUACGUCAGCGGCAGACGGGUGAGUAACGCGUGGGAACAUACCUUUUGGUUCGGAACAACACAGGGAAACUUGUGCUAAUACCGGAUAAGCCCUUACGGGGAAAGAUUUAUCGCCGAAAGAUUGGCCCGCGUCUGAUUAGCUAGUUGGUGAGGUAACGGCUCACCAAGGCGACGAUCAGUAGCGGUCUGAGAGGAUGAUCAGCCACAUUGGGACUGAGACACGGCCCAAACUCCUACGGGAGGCAGCAGUGGGGAAUAUUGGACAAUGGGCGAAAGCCUGAUCCAGCCAUGCCGCGUGAGUGAUGAAGGCCCUAGGGUUGUAAAGCUCUUUGUGCGGGAAGAUAAUGACGGUACCGCAAGAAUAAGCCCCGGCUAACUUCGUGCCAGCCGCCGCCGUAAU